rnacentral:rRNA from 1 species
UACGAAGGGUGCAAGCGUUAAUCGGAAUUACUGGGCGUAAAGCGUGCGUAGGCGGUUGUUUAAGUCUGCUGUGAAAUCCCCGGGCUCAACCUGGGAAUGGCGAUGGAUACUGGCGAGCUAGAGUGUGUCAGAGGAUGGUGGAAUUCCCGGUGUAGCGGUGAAAUGCGUAGAGAUCGGGAGGAACAUCCGUGGCGAAGGCGGCCAUCUGGACCAGCACUGACACUGAAGCACGAAAGCGUGGGGAGCAAACAGG